rnacentral:rRNA from 1 species
AUUGAACGCUGGCGGCAUGCCUUACACAUGCAAGUCGAACGGCAGCACGGGAGCUUGCUCCGGUGGCGAGUGGCGAACGGGUGAGUAAUAUAUCGGAACGUACCCUAGAGUGGGGGAUAACGCAGCGAAAGUUGCGCUAAUACCGCAUACGAUCUACGGAUGAAAGUGGGGGAUCGCAAGACCUCAUGCUCAUGGAGCGGCCGAUAUCUGAUUAGCUAGUUGGUGGGGUAAAGGCCUACCAAGGCAUCGAUCAGUAGCUGGUCUGAGAGGACGACCAGCCACACUGGAACUGAGACACGGUCCAGACUCCUACGGGAGGCAGCAGUGGGGAAUUUUGGACAAUGGGGGCAACCCUGAUCCAGCAAUGCCGCGUGAGUGAAGAAGGCCUUCGGGUUGUAAAGCUCUUUUGUCAGGGAAGAAACGGUGAGGGCUAAUAUCCUUUGCUAAUGACGGUACCUGAAGAAUAAGCACCGGCUAACUACGUGCCAGCAGCCGCGGUAAUACGUAGGGUGCAAGCGUUAAUCGGAAUUACUGGGCGUAAAGCGUGCGCAGGCGGUUAUGUAAGUCAGAUGUGAAAUCCCCGGGCUCAACCUGGGAAUGGCAUUUGAGACUGCAUGGCUAGAGUGUGUCAGAGGGGGGUAGAAUUCCACGUGUAGCAGUGAAAUGCGUAGAGAUGUGGAGGAAUACCGAUGGCGAAGGCAGCCCCCUGGGAUAACACUGACGCUCAUGCACGAAAGCGUGGGGAGCAAACAGG